GAAAUGCGAUAAUUAAUGUGAAUUGCGGAAUUCAGUGAAUCAUCGAGUCUUUGAAUGCACAUUGCGCCCCCUGGUAUUCCGGGGGGCAUGCCUGUCCGAGCGUCAUUGCUGCCCUCAAGCACGGCUUGUGUGUUGGGCUUCCGUCCCUGGCAACGGGGACGGGCCCAAAAGGCAGUGGCGGCACCAUGUCUGGUCCUCGAGCGUAUGGGGCUUUGUCACCCGCUCCCGUAGGUCCAGCUGGCAGCUAGCCUCGCAACCAAUCUUUUUAACCAGGUUGACCUCGGAUCAGGUAGGGAUACCCGCUGAACUUAAGC
rnacentral:misc_RNA from 1 species